GGGAUCUUCGAAUUAUGUAUUCCCUCGCCUCCCCCAAAUAAUAAAUACUCUCUACUCCAUUGCUAUCACGUUGGGCCACCAAACUCCCACCUUCCCUUUCCAAAAAACAGCGAUCUUCUCAGCUAGAUCUGCGGUGGCGGUCCGACCUCGCCGGUGGUGGGGGAGGGGUAUCUCAGCGAGAUGCUCGCCGGCAGAUAUCGGUGUUCUUUUUGCGUAUGUUGUGCUGGCCAAGCUGAGCAGUUGAGCGAGGAUGUGGUGCAAGCACCAGCUGCCGCUGCCCCCUCAAUCCACGAGCCACUGAAUCUUGGAGCUUCACAAGGCCUAGCAUCUCGUUCCUGCAUUGCUGAGAUUCAAUCACAUGUCGUGGCUCAAAUAUUGAGGACAAUCCUUGGGGUUCAAAUAUCAAAUUCCUGUCCCUCCAAUGUCAAAGCCAUUCAUUGAUUACAUGCCUCGAGAUUAUCCAGCCACCACUACAAGCUCAAGAUUUGAAGUUCCUUUGGGAGCGCUAGAAGUUGCUGACCUUGGUGAAGAUCAAGGCACAAGCUUCAGAUGCAGCACUGAAAAUGCAGACUGAUGAGAUCGAGAGGUUGAAAAACCAAGUACAAGGCUACUGAGACCCUCCUUCGUCAACUCCUAAACUCCCACCUUGGGUAAGGCCAUUGUGUUUCUUUGUCAUCUGCUAGUUUUGAGUACUGUGGGUCGUUAUAUUUGUGUUCUGUUUCAAGACCAACAUUGUUGGCAGGGAGAUAUCAUUUAUAUUGGUUUGUGAGCUUCUAGUAACAAUAUGUUUGUUCUUGUUCUGUGUUCAUUAAUAACAAUAUGUCAUGUCUGAUG